rnacentral:rRNA from 1 species
UACAGAGGGUGCGAGCGUUGUCCGGAAUCACUGGGCGUAAAGGGCGCGUAGGCGGCUUGAUAAGCGUGCGGUGAAAGCCCGGGGCUCAACCCCGGGUCGGCCGUGCGAACUGUCGAGCUGGAGCACUGUAGAGGCAGGUGGAAUUCCGGGUGUAGCGGUGGAAUGCGUAGAGAUCCGGAAGAACACCGGUGGCGAAGGCGGCCUGCUGGGCAGUGGCUGACGCUGAGGCGCGACAGCGU